rnacentral:rRNA from 1 species
UACGUAGGGGGCUAGCGUUGUCCGGAUUUAUUGGGCGUAAAGAGCGUGUAGGCGGCCAGGUAGGUCAGCUGUGAAAACUCGAGGCUCAACCUCGAGACGCCGGUGGAAACCAUCAGGCUAGAGUCCGGAAGAGGAGAGUGGAAUUCCUGGUGUAGCGGUGAAAUGCGCAGAUAUCAGGAAGAACACCCGUGGCUAAGGCGGCUCUCUAGUACGGUACUGACGCUGAGACGCGAAAGCGUGGGGAGCGAACAGG